rnacentral:rRNA from 1 species
CUACGGGCGGCAGCAGUGAGGAAUAUUGCGCAAUGGGGGAAACCCUGACGCAGCGACGCCGCGUGGAUGAUGAAGGCCUUCGGGUUGUAAAAUCCUGUCAGAUGGGAAGAACUGUUACAUGUCUAAUAUAUGUGUAACCUGACGGUACCAUCAAAGGAAGCACCGGCUAACUCCGUGCCAGCAGCCGCGGUAAUACGGAGGGUGCAAGCGUUGUUCGGAAUUACUGGGCGUAAAGCGCGCGUAGGCGGCUAUGUAAGUCAGAUGUGAAAGCCCAUGGCUUAACCAUGGACGUGCAUUUGAUACUGCAUGGCUUGAGUACUGGAGGGGGUGGUGGAAUUCCCGGUGUAGAGGUGAAAUUCGUAGAUAUCGGGAGGAAUACCGGUGGCGAAGGCGACCACCUGGCCAGAUACUGACGCUGAGGUGCGAAAGCGUGGGGAGCAAACAGGAUUAGAUACCCCCGUAGUC